CCUACGGGGCGCAGCAGGCGCGAAAACUUCGCAAUGCGCGGAAGCGCGACGAGGGGAUUCCAAGUGCAUGCACUCUGUGUAUGCUGUUUACUAGUCUAAAACGCUAGUAGAGUAAGGGCUGGGUAAGACUGGUGCCAGCCGCCGCGGUAAUACCAGCGGCCCUAGUGGUGAUCGUUAUUAUUGGGCCUAAAGCGUCCGUAGCCGGCCCGGUAAAUCUCUGGGUAAAUCGUUGGGCUUAACUCAACGAAUUCUGGGGAGACUGCCGGGCUUGGGACCGGGAGAGGUCGGAGGUACUCCAGGGGUAGGGGUGAAAU
rnacentral:rRNA from 1 species